UGGGGAAUAUUGGACAAUGGGCGCAAGCCUGAUGCAGCCAUGCCGCGUGUAUGAAGAAGGCCUUCGGGUUGUAAAGUACUUUCAGCGGGGAGGAAGGGAGUAAAGUUAAUACCUUUGCUCAUUGACGUUACCCGCAGGAGAAGCACCGGCUAACUCCGUGCCAGCAGCCGCGGUAAUACGGAGGGUGCAAGCGUUAAUCGGAAUUACUGGGCGUAAAGCGCACGCAGGCGGUUUGUUAAGUCAGAUGUGAAAUCCCCGGGCUCAACCUGGGAACUGCAUCUGAUACUGGCAAGCUUGAGUCUCGUAGAGGGGGGUAGAAUUCCAGGUGUAGCGGUGAAAUGCGUAGAGAUCUGGAGGAAUACCGGUGGCGAAGGCGGCCCCCUGGACGAAGACUGACGCUCAGGUGCGAAAGCGUGGGGAGCAAACA
rnacentral:rRNA from 1 species